rnacentral:rRNA from 1 species
CGGCGGACGGGUGAGUAGCGCGUGGGUAACCUGCCUCAUACAGGGGGAUAACAGUUAGAAAUGACUGCUAAUACCGCAUAAGCGCACAGGACCGCAUGGUCCGGUGUGAAAAACUCCGGUGGUAUGAGAUGGACCCGCGUCUGAUUAGCUGGUUGGCGGGGUAACGGCCCACCAAGGCGACGAUCAGUAGCCGACCUGAGAGGGUGGCCGGCCACAUUGGGACUGAGACACGGCCCAAACUCCUACGGAAGGCAGCAG